AGAGGUGGUGCAUGGCCGUCGUCAGUUCGUACUGUGAAGCAUCCUGUUAAGUCAGGCAACGAGCGAGACCCCACGCCCACAGUUGCCAGCGUACUCUCCGGAGUGACGGGUACACUGUGGGGACCGCCGCUGCUAAAGCGGAGGAAGGAAUGGGCAACGGUAGGUCAGUAUGCCCCGAAUAUCCCGGGCUACACGCGAGCUACAAUGGUUGGUACAAUGGGUAUCUACCCCGAAAGGGGACGGGAAUCUCCUAAAACCAAUCUUAGUUCGGAUUGAGGGCUGCAACUCGCCCUCAUGAAGCUGGAAUCCGUAGUAAUCGCGUUUCAACAGAACGCGGUGAAUACGUCCCUGCUCCUU
rnacentral:rRNA from 1 species